AUGUCAACUGCCUUAUGCUUUCUUGAUGCAGGGAUUUAUGGUUUCAUUUUGGGCAAGUUUUUGGAUAGCAAAGAUAGUAAAAAGGCUGUUUGCAGACUGGUUUUUUUAUGUAGGUUUUGGAGUGAAGUAGCAGCAAGCUUGGGGCCUUUCGGACAACAAAUUUGGACUGUUUUAUUUGGUUACUUAUGCAGGGAUAGGGACUGGUUUGGCAAGUUCAAAAAAUAUGGUUUUGGGACCACAACUUUAUUGGACAUAAAACAAUAA